rnacentral:lncRNA from 1 species
GGGCGCCGUGGAGCAGGGGGCGGCGCUCGUCCAGGAGGCUCAGGCUGCACAGGAGCCCACGGCGCCGGGGGCUGGGGAGGCUCAGGCAUGGCGAGCUGCAGGCCGCGAGCCCUGCCCCGCGGGGAGGCAGCUAAGGCCCGCGAAAAAUCGAGCGCAGCGCGGGUGGAUUGGCCCAGCUGGGGUACCUGGCGCACCCCCCGCAGCUGCUGGCCCCGGUGCUAAGCCCCUCACUGCCCGGGGCCGGGCCGGGCCGGGCCGGCCGGUUGGCAGCUCCGAGUGCGGGGCCCGCCAAGCCCACGCCCAUCCGGAACUCUAGCUGGCCUGCAAGCGCGGCGCGCAGCCCCAGUUCCCGCCCGUGCCUCUCUCCACACCUCCGGGCAAGCUGAGGGAGCAGGCUCCGCCCUCAACCAGACCAGAGAGGGGCCCCCACAGCGCAGUGGCGGGCUGAAGGGUUCCCCGAGCAUGGCCAGAGCGGACACUGAGUCCGAGGAGGCACCAAGAGCGAGCGAGCGCUGCAAGGGCUGCCAGAACGCUGUCACCUCUCAAUAGGAAAAAAAUGACUUUGAGGAGUUUCAUCGGAGCCUGAGUUUCAGCAUUAUGCGAGGGUGACCAUGAAAUUUGAGUGGCUGCUCUUCAGAUAACCUCAUUGUUAUCUGCUGUUUGGAGAGGCUUA